ensembl:lncRNA MIR3667HG MIR3667 host gene
CGUGUGCGGUCCCUCCCCCUCACGUUCUCUCUUCCUCUGCUCCGCCAUGAUGAGAAGCGCCUGCUUCCCCUUCCCCUUCCGCCAUGAUUGUGUUUCCUGAGACCUCCCAGCCACGCUUCCUGUACAGCCUGCAGAACUACGCUGUCAGAGAUGGAUUGGGGACAAUCCUGCGGGGAGGUGCUGAGGAGGGCAGCUACGACAACUGGCCCCACACCAGGAAAAGCUGGGGGCCGCUGAGCCCAGGCCACCAACGGGAGCUGUGGACCCAGCCUGACCCCUGGACCGAGGUGCUUUCAGGGCACAAGGGGGAUGCGGGAGCCUGUGGCUGCUGUUGCUUCUGCUCUCAGUUCAUAAACGCACGCUGUGCACAUCCCCUGUGCUUGGCAAGGGGCCUGGAUAGAAGGGCCAGUGAGGAGAUGCCCAUCCUCCAGGCACUGUGCCUCCUCCCAAAGGAAAAUCUCCAUGAUGCCAGCAGGCGUGUCCACAGAGGAAGGGGCGAAGAAAAUGUCGAAUGGACAGGCGACCUGCAUCCUGCCCAGCUCGGAAGAGGAGGACGUCCUGAGAUUUGCCACAGCCUGGAGGCGAUUGCGCUCGUGACAAAAGCCAGACACAGAAAGACAAAUACCACGUUCUAAUUUGUGCAUGGGAGCUAAAAUAGUUGAGUUCAUAGAGGCAGAGGGUGGGGAAGGGCUGGGCAGGGGGGAACUGGGGAGAGGUUGGUCGAAUGGCACCAAGGCUCACUUGGGAGGUGACAAGCUUGGGACAGCAGGGUGGCCGUGGUGAAGGAGAACGUGUUGGGUACAUGGAUUUGCUGUGACCUGACCUCAAGUGCUCUUGCCACAGAACCCAGGUGCUCCCUGCUGGAAAGCCACACGCGGCAGAGGAGAGCUGGCAGGAGGAAAAGCGGGUUCGAGUCAGCAGCCUUUGGAGACGGCAGACUGAGAGUGUCACAGAGACCAUCUCAAGUCUGCACGAAUUCCAGGCUCUUUUAUGUUAAGGGCAGGGGGACGGGGAGGGGGUUGGGAUCAAGAGGUGACAGGUGACCGCACACAUGUGGGUGCCAGCGAGGGUCCGAGGAGGCUGGCGAUGCCUUCGUCCUUGGUCAGGUCACGAGCACCUGUGAAUCCACAGCAGAACAGCUGUUCACAGCUUCCCCUUUCAUCCCGGAGUGAGUUUCAAAACCUGCAUCACGACUGCCUCUGUGUAUUUUCUCCGUCCUCUAGAAGAUCCUAGGCUCCGUGCAGGAAUGGGUGAAGGCCCCUUACACAAAAACAAAGUCAGGUCCUGAGUUCUUUUGCUGUUUCUUUGCUUUCUCCUGCAAAGUCACUCGAAAGGUGACUGGCGGAGGUGAGGCUGCGCUAAUUAGCUUGAUUGUGGUGACCCUUCCACAAAGCACGUGUAUGUCGGCAUAUUCACUGGGUCAUGCACCUCGAAUACAUAUUUUUACUUGUCAAAUACAUGAUAAUAAA